CGAGAGGGGCAAGCGUUGUUCGGAAUUACUGGGCGUAAAGGGCGCGUAGGCGGCCUUCUAAGUCGAACGUGAAAUCCCCGGGCUCAACCCGGGAACUGCGUCCGAUACUGGAAGGCUUGAAUCCGGGAGAGGGAUGCGGAAUUCCAGGUGUAGCGGUGAAAUGCGUAGAUAUCUGGAGGAACACCGGUGGCGAAGGCGGCAUCCUGGACCGGCAUUGACGCUGAGGCGCGAAAGCCAGGGGAGCAAACGGGAUUAGAUACCCCGGUAGUCCUGGCCCUAAACGAUGAAUGCUUGGUGUGGCGGGUAUCGAUCCCUGCCGUGCCGAAGCUAACGCAUUAAGCAUUCCGCCUGGGGAGUACGGUCGCAAGGCUG
rnacentral:rRNA from 1 species